AGUGAACGCUGGCGGUAGGCCUAACACAUGCAAGUCGAACGGCAGCACAGUAAGAGCUUGCUCUUACGGGUGGCGAGUGGCGGACGGGUGAGGAAUACAUCGGAAUCUACUUUUUCGUGGGGGAUAACGUAGGGAAACUUACUCUAAUACCGCAUACGACCUACGGGUGAAAGCAGUGGAUCUUCGGACCUUGCGCGAUUGAAUGAGCCGAUUUCGGAUUAGCUAGUUGGCGGGGUAAAGGCCCACCAAGGCGACGAUCCGUAGCUGGUCUGAGAGGAUGAUCAGCCACACUGGAACUGAGACACGGUCCAGACUCCUACGGGAGGCAGCAGUGGGGAAUAUUGGACAAUGGGCGCAAGCCUGAUCCAGCCAUACCGCGUGGGUGAAGAAGGCCUUCGGGUUGUAAAGCCCUUUUGUUGGGAAAGAAAAGCAGCAGGUUAAUACCCCGCUGUUCUGACGGUACCCAAAGAAUAAGCACCGGCUAACUUCGUG
rnacentral:rRNA from 1 species